rnacentral:rRNA from 1 species
GAUGAACGCUGACAGAAUGCUUAACACAUGCAAGUCAACUUGAACUUCGGUUUGGGUGGCGGACGGGUGAGUAACGCGUAAAGAACUUGCCUCACAGCUAGGGACAACAUUUGGAAACGAAUGCUAAUACCUGAUAUUAUGAUUAUAUGGCAUCGUAUAAUUAUGAAAGCUAUAUGCGCUGUGAGAGAGCUUUGCGUCCCAUUAGCUAGUUGGAGAGGUAACAGCUCACCAAGGCGAUGAUGGGUAGCCGGCCUGAGAGGGUGAUCGGCCACAAGGGGACUGGGACACGGCCCUUACUCCUACGGGAGGCAGCAGUGGGGAAUAGUGGACAAUGGACCGAGAGUCUGAUCCAGCAAUUCUGUGUGCACGAUGAAGUUUUUCGGAAUGUAAAGUGCUUUCAGUUGGGAAGAAAAAAAUGACGGUACCAACAGAAGAAGAGACGGCUAAAUACGUG